rnacentral:rRNA from 1 species
GUGAGGAAUAUUGGUCAAUGGGCGCAAGCCUGAACCAGCCAUCCCGCGUGAAGGAUGACGGCCCUAUGGGUUGUAAACUUCUUUUCUGUGCAAAGAAAUUGCCUUACGUGUAAGGUAUUGACGGUAGUGCAGGAAUAAGGAUCGGCUAACUCCGUGCCAGCAGCCGCGGUAAUACGGAGGAUCCAAGCGUUAUCCGGAUUUAUUGGGUUUAAAGGGUGCGUAGGCGGAUUUGUAAGUCAGUGGUGAAAUCCUGCAGCUUAACUGUAGAACUGCCAUUGAUACUGCUGAUCUUGAGUACAGUUGAGGUAGGCGGAAUGUGUAGUGUAGCGGUGAAAUGCUUAGAUAUUACACAGAACACCGAUUGCGAAGGCAGCUUGCCAAACUGUCACUGACGCUGAUGCACGAAAGCGUGGGGAUCGAACAGGAUUAGAAACCCUUGUAGUCC